GCAGUCGUGGCCGAGUGGUUAAUUAAGGCGAUGGAGUAGAAAUCCAUUGCGGUCUCCCCGCACAGGCUCAAAUCCUGUCGACUGCA
rnacentral:tRNA from 2 species